rnacentral:rRNA from 1 species
CCUACGGGAGGCUGCAGUGGGGGAUAUUGCACAAUGGGGGAAACCCUGAUGCAGCGACGCCGCGUGAGUGAAGAAGUAUUUCGGUAUGUAAAGCUCUAUCAGCAGGGAAGAAAAUGACGGUACCUGACCAUGAAGCCCCGGCUAACUACGUGCCAGCAGCCGCGGCAACACGUAGGGGGCAAGCGUUAUCCGGAUUUACUGGGCGUAAAGGGAGUGUAGUCGGUGCAGCAAGUCUGAUGUGAAAGGUCGGGGUCCAACCCCGGGACUGCAUUGGAAACUGUUGGACUGGAGUACAGGAGAGGUAAGCGGAAUUCGUAGUGUAGCGGUGAAAUGCGUAGAUAUUAGGAGGAACACCGGUGGCGAAGGCAGCUUACUGGACUGUAACUGACGUUGAGGCACGAAAGCGUGGGGAGCGAACAGGAUUAGAUACCCGGGUAGUC